rnacentral:rRNA from 1 species
GACGAACGCUGGCGGCGUGCUUAACACAUGCAAGUCGAACGGAAAGGCCCUGCAUUUGUGGGGUGCUCGAGUGUCGAACGGGUGAGUAACACGUGAGUAACCUGCCCUUGACUUUGGGAUAACUUCAGGAAACUGGGGCUAAUACCGGAUAGGAGCUCCUUCUGCAUUGUGGGGUUUGGAAAGUUUCGGCGGUUGGGGAUGGCCUCGCGGCUUAUCAGCUUGUUGGUGGGGUAGUGGCUUACCAAGGCUUUGACGGGUAGCCGGCCUGAGAGGGUGACCGGCCACAUUGGGACUGAGAUACGGCCCAGACUCCUACGGGAGGCAGCAGUGGGGAAUAUUGCACAAUGGGCGGAAGCCUGAUGCAGCAACGCCGCGUGCGGGAUGACGGCCUUCGGGUUGUAAACCGCUUUCGCCUGUGACGAAGCGUGAGUGACGGUAAUGGGUAAAGAAGCACCGGCUAACUACGUG